GAUGAACGCUGGCGGCGUGCCUAAUACAUGCAUCGGCGAGGAAGCGGCGGACGGGUGAGUAACACGUGGGUGACCUGCCCUGCACUUCGGGAUAAGCCUGGGAAACUGGGUCUAAUACCGGAUAGUGUGGGAUGGGCCCGCGGCCUAUCAGCUUGUUGGUGGGGUAAUGGCCUACCAAGGCGGCGACGGGUAGCCGGCCUGAGAGGGUGGACGGCCACAUUGGGACUGAGACACGGCCCAGACUCCUACGGGAGGCAGCAGUGGGGAAUAUUGCACAAUGGGCGCAAGCCUGAUGCAGCCAGGCCGCGUGUAUGAAGAAGGCCUUAGGGUUGUAAAGUACUUUCAGCGGGGAGGCGUUACCCGCAGAAGAAGCACCGGCUAACUCCGUGCCAGCAGCCGCGGUAAUUC
rnacentral:rRNA from 1 species